rnacentral:lncRNA from 1 species
CCGUCCCCUCCUCGCCCCGGCCUGUAACUGCUGCGGGGGCCGCUUUCUGGGCCCGCCCCUCCAGGCCAGGAGCCUUUUUCAAAAUGUGGCGGUGGCAGGGAAGGUUGUCUGCUCCAGAGGCUUCCCUAGAGUGAAGAGCUCUACUAUGUAUGCUUUAUGCGGCAGAAGGAGUGCUUUGGAGGAGUUUUUAAAUUUGUUUUUUUUUUAAAUCUUAUCGGUUUUAAUUGUAGCAAUGAUUCAAGAAACGUUAGUAGGUGCCCAUAACUUCGGUGGUGGAGAUCCAAAAGUGAACAAGACAGUGUUCUGGCUGCUAAAUUCUUCUUAACUGGUUAUGCCUGGAGACCUUCACUUGGUUCUGUGCCAGCACUGCCCAUGAACUUCAUAGACUGUGAUCUUUGCUAAGGCCUAAAUGAAUGAAGUGCAGGUGCAGGACCGGAAGCAGAAGACAGAAAGUGGAGACCAGAUGUUUGAAGCUGGGUAAAGGCAGGGAUGGAGCAGGAACCGAGGAACAAACCUUGGAACUAGUUGCACUUGCCCAAAGGAAGUUCUCGUUUGAUUGACUCUGUCUGCUGCUCCAUAGCGACUUUCCAGCUCUCAGGCCUGAUCCAAGGAGCCACAGAGCAUGCCCAUCAAGAGCUAUGUGGGACCAUGGGGGCGGGCCUGGGUUUUAUGUGAAGUAAUGGCUUUUCAAGCCUGGCAUGACAGUUCGCAGUCCAGCAUGGCAACCAGCAGCCCAGCAUGAAGGAGGCAGACAGUUGAACAGAUUAUUUUUAUGGCUUACUUAAAGAAAUAGUUUUGAUGUCAAAUCCAUUUUGGUUUCAAAUGGGAAAAUCAGAGUUAACCUCUCUAUACUAUUCAGAAAAAAUCAGCUGAAAAGUGCAGAAACCAAAUUGGUUUACCAACUGGUGGUCAUCAUGCCGAGAGCAUUAUAACCAAUGCUCUCCUCUUUGCAGUCCCUUCACCCCAGUUGACUAAUUGUUUAGAUCCAAUUAACUUUCAUUUGUUGUAUGUUGCAUAAACUGGACUUUACAACUAGGUAUAAGAAGAACAAGGAGGGAAGAAGAGUAUCUUCUUUGUAUUAAAUUAUGUCUCGUUUUUCACAAGAUAGUUCAUAUCUCCCUUUAAAUGUCAUAUAUGAUAUAUGCCUCUUUAAAUGUUGUGAUUGCUUGAAAUUGUGAAAAAAAUUAAAAUUUUUAUUGAAAUGCUAAUUAUUUCAGAGGAUAAUUUUUAGCACAAUGAUAUUUUUUAUCCUGCCUGGUGGUGGUUUUGUCAGCAUAACCACAUUCUCCAUCUUUUUCUGUCUUAAAAAGGCAAUAGAACAAACAAAAAUAAACAGAAAUUAAAAAAAAAAAAGCAUCUGUUCCGAUUCCUUCAAGCCUUGAACUCUUCUCCAAAAUUCACUGUUCACUUAAAGCUUAUAUUUUGGAGGUCACCCAUAAUAUCCUAGUAUGAAAGUCAUGGUGUUUCCUUCGUGCUCAUUCAACACUCCUGCUCCAUAGCAUUCAACCUUGCUGACCAAGUCUUCCUUAGAAUUGUCUCCCUCCUUAUUUUUGUGACACUCUGUUAUCCUUAUCUUCCUAUUUCUCUGAUCACUUGGUUUUUGCCUCUACUUUUUGGUCUCUCUUUCUGUUACUUUAAUAUAGUUUAAUAUAGACAUUUGUCAAACCUCUUUCUCUCCCUAUCCCUCUCCCUCUCUCACAACAAUCCUGUACUAACAUGGCUUUCAUUAAUUGUCCUAAAUGGAGAACUCCAUAUCUUUAUUCAUUACUGACCCACCUCUCUAGAUCCAUCUAAACCAGAAUUUUUCAAACUUGGCACUAUUGUCAUUUGGAAGCUGGACAAUUAUCUGUAGAAGGGGCUGUCCUGUGCGUUGUAUGAAGUUCAGCAGCACCCCUGGCCUCUACGCACUAGAUUGACUAGCACACCCCCAGUUGUGACAGUCAAAAACACCUCCAGUCAUUGCCAAAUGUGCCCUAGGAGGCAAAAUCUCCCCUGGUUGAGAACUACUGAAAUAAAUAUUGACAGCAGUGGGUAGCAAGAGGUGGAUACAGGUCUUAGAAGAGGAGAGAUGAUGUUAAAAAUAAGUAGAUUUUACCCAACAGCUAGAUUAAUUCGUAGAGUUUUUCUCCAUGGUCAAGUGGGCUUCAUCCCUGGGAUGCAAGGCUGGUUCAAUAUACGCAAAUCAAUAAAUGUAAUCCAGCAUAUAAACAGAACCAACGACAAAAACCACAUGAUUAUCUCAAUAGAUGCA